ACAUGAUGACAGCUGUUAUGUGCUGUUGUUCUGUGCUGGUGAUAAUCAUCGCUCCACUAUCAAAAUAUUAUUGUGGCUGAAGGGAACGGUUUGAUCGUUCGUCCGAACCCAUUAACCCCAUCGUACACGACAAAGUCGGGCAGCGGUUUGCAGUAACGAAACAUUGGGUCAGAAGAACUUAAUGUUCAAAGAACAAUGGACAUGGACAGCACAAACGGUGAUAACAAUGGGGGCAUCGAGCAAGCGCUGCUGCAGCAGUUCAGCUGCAUGGGUACGACGGACAGAGAAGAGUUGAUUUGCAAUUUGCAGAGGGUGCUUGGGGCUGACCUGAACUACAGCACGGCAGCAUUCUAUUUGGAUAUGAACAAUUGGAAUCUGCAAGCUGCUAUAUGUUCUUAUUUUGAUGUGGUCAAUUCCACUAAACUUCCAUCGAUGGCACUCCGUGCAGACCCACAUGCAAGCGAGAACGAUAGCGUGGAGCCGAACACGCCGUUCUUAAAGAACUGGUAUGUUUAUAAUAAUGGGCCGGAGCGCUGGCCGGAGGGUUGCUAUGUUCAGUGUUCCGCUGGAGACACUUUCGGUGGGGAGAAAACGAACGUGAAAGCCAUGAUGCCUGGUGAGAUGACACUGAUAUCUGUCGAUAUGGUGAGUCCCGGCUGUGCGGGUCAAUUCCAAAGCAAAUGGAGGCUCUGCACACCGACGGGCACCUAUUUCGGGGAUCCCCUAUGGAUGAUUCUGACGGUUGUCGAGGAGAGAACGAUGCAGCUCACCGAUCAGCUCUCCCAUUUGAACGAUCUCGGCGCCCCAUUGACCAAUAACGUGCCUGCGAAUCCCUUCAGAUCCAAUGAACAAUGUUUCUGUGCGCGAUGGCGGUGGGCGCUAACGAGUUCUGCAACAUUUGCUGCAUGAACAUCGAGGCGGAGACGGUGGGUAAGGUGUGCGGAUCGCACACGAUGUGCAGAUAUCAGAAAGAGGAGGUGGGACCUUCGUGCAAGGGUUUUGUCUUGGUAAAGUUCACGCCCACCGAGAGGAGGG